GUGUGCCUGUCUGCCUCUGUGUGUGUGUGUAUCCGCCUGUGUGUGUGUGUGUGGCUUUCUGCCUGGGACAGAUCCACUAUAGCUCUCCCAAAUGUAGGGAGGCUGGGUGGACACAAGUUUGUUUUCCUGGCACUACAGUGGUCCUUUUAGGAGUACAACCAACCUGCAUAGUUAGGCAAAUAUCGGCAACUCAUACAUGUGGCCCACUAAUACCUG